rnacentral:rRNA from 1 species
CCUACGGGAGGCUGCAGUAGGGAAUCUUCCACAAUGGGCGAAAGCCUGAUGGAGCAACGCCGCGUGGGUGAAGAAGGUCUUCGGAUCGUAAAACUCUGUUGUUAGAGAAGAAAGUGCGUGAGAGUAACUGUUCACGUUUCGACGGUAUCUAACCAGAAAGCCACGGCUAACUACGUGCCCGCAGGCGCGGCAAUAAGUAGGAGGGUAGCGUUUUCCGGAUUUAUUGGGCGUAAAGGGCACGCAGGCGGUUUGUUAAGUCUGAUGUGAAAGCCUUCGGCUUAACCGGAGUAGUGCAUUGGAAACUGGGGGACUUGAGUGCAGAAGAGGAGAGUGGAACUCCAUGUGUAGCGGUGAAAUGCGUAGAUAUAGGGAAGAACACCAGUGGCGAAAGCGGCUCUCUGGUCUGUGACUGACGCUGAGGUUCGAAAGCGUGGGUAGCAAACAGGAUUAGAUACCCCUGUAGUC